rnacentral:lncRNA from 1 species
UUGAAUUUGCAUUAGGAUGUAAUAAGUGUGUGAAUGUUCUAAAAUUCUGAAAAUAUUGUUCGUGUUGCCGUUGAACAAAUGGGGGAGAAGUUUAUGUGGGUAUCAGUGAGUUCGUCAGAUUGUGAGGUUGAUUUAAUUUUAAAAUACUGGUGAUAUUAGUAGCAAAAAUUUGUAAUUAGUGAUAUUUGUUAUUGUUACCGGCAAUUUAAUAGUAUGAGAUGGAUAUGGAAUGGUUCGUAAUGUGUGGAAAAUCAUGAUUAGGAAAGUCACAUGUGAUGGAUAUUUGUUAGUAGAUCCGGUAAUUAGAAAAUGUCAUAUGCUAAACGAACGGCUCAUUGAUUAGUGGAAAAUAUUUGAAGGAAAUUCAAAUAUGAUUGUCUUUAUAGUUCAAAGGAAGCAAAAAGGCUAAAGUUGAAUCCAAAUUUUAACAUCCAUACUUGUGCUUGAUUCCAGUAGCAAUCAUGUGGACAUCUACAUGUUACACAUAACAUAUCAGGUGCACUAUUCAUUUCCUUAACAAUAUUUAUUUAUAGUUAUUUUGAUACUGAUUUUCAUUUUGUUUUAAGAUAUUGAAUAUUUGAUAUUUUAAGUUUUAAUUGAAUCUUUUAAUAUAUUUUAAAAAUUUAAACCAAGAUGUCAAGCUAAUUUUUCUGAUAGUUUUUAGUUUUUAUAUUAAUUUACUUUGUUUUGUGAAAUGCAAAAUUUUUAAGUUUAAUAUUUUUAAAACAAUUGAUUUUGUCAGUUAAAAUUUAUGUUGAUUUUCCAAAAUCUAUUCUAUUAAAACAGCAGUGUGACCAAUUGAUAAAAGUAGUGUCCAUUGGAUUUUAUUAAAAAAAAAAUUCAACUUUUAUAUAAUUAUAUAUAAUCUAUUUAAUAUAAACCACGAUCUUCUAUCUAACUACAAGCAGUUACGUUUCUCUUAAUUAAAACAGUUGGGUUUAUGUAUUUGCCUUUUUUCGUGUAUCAAAGAAUCGUGAUUGAUUUCUCCUCACCUCAUCCUAUUAAACCCAUAUUAUGAAAAACAGCCUCAAUUUCAGAGUGUUUCAAAAAAAAAAAGUCUCAAUUUCAGAUAUCUCCAUAACCUGCGUGCAAAACUGUUUUUUCUUUAUAACAAAUAUCGAGUUGAACCACAAUUUCACUUUUUCUAUUCAUUGCCCUCAUAGAUAUUUAUUCUAUUAAAAUAGCAGUGUAGCCAAUUGAUAAAAAUACAGUCUAACUAUUAUUUCAACCCGAAUGUAACGAUCACGUAUACACACGUAUAAAAAGCAUGACAGUUAUAUAAUUUUUUUACAGGAAACAGACGAGGUUAUCAAUUUCCAUGUAACCGGCAGGACCCUCUACUUUCUACUACUUUUCGUUUAUUGAUGUAUCUAAAUUAUUUAACCCACAAAUUAUUUUUUCAGAACCAG